AAAAAGUAUGCAACUUUAUUUUUUCCAACCAAAACUAAUGCUGCAUGGGGGGCAAAAUUCUUUGGGUGCAAGGUGAUACUACCCUUCCUGUGCAGGCAUGAAAAUCUUCACACUGGUAGGCCACGUCAGCUACUGGCCGUUAUGCCUAGACGUGUAGUGGGUGCUUGUCAGAUUUUUGUUUUCAUACAAGAUGGCCAAAUGCACCAAGCAGAGAUAUUGCAUCAAGUUUUGCCAAAAGCUUGGUGAUACUCAAGCCCAAGCUGGAGCAGAAGAUUCAGAAGGCCUUUGGGCAAAACUCAGAUCCAGGGAUGGUACAACCACUUCCAACGUGGUCACACCUCAGUGGAGAGUGAGGUGCACCCAAAUUGGCCAUCCACAAGCAGAAACAAGGAACCAAUUGAGAAGGUUUGGCAAAUAGUUAUGGAAGCCUAUCAUGUAACGAUCACAGAAAUUAGUCACAAAGUGGGAAUGAACACAGGAUCAGUGCAUUCCUUUUUAAUGGAGGAUUUGUGCAUGUGGAGAGUGUCAGCAGAGAAAUAAAGUUGGAUAGUCUUUGAACACACCCCGUUGAGGCUGUUUUGCUUCCUGCAAGACCAAAGAGCCUUCUCUAUUCCAUGUUACUGCUUCAAGACAAACGCAACAGAGAAGAUGAAAAAGAUAGCAAAUGUGUGAAUGUGAUUUGUUUGACAGAGCAAACAGGGCAGGAAGGGAUGGAAGAAAUAGAAAUCAACAAUGAAUGAAGUAAUUUGAGGUGAAGGUGUAAUGUGUGUAUGAGAGAGAGAGAGUGAAUGAUGACAAUAAAGGUGGGUGAUGGCACAACAGAGUGGUGGGUUUCAUUGAAGAGGGAUAUGAGAGAAUGAUAACGAACUUCUCUCUGUUACACAGUUGUCAUAAUGACAGAGAGAGAGAGAGAGUGAGUGAUAGUACAGAAGACUGCAUACAAACAGGUACAACAGCCUACCUUUUUGUACGAGUAAGGCAGUGCAAUGAACAAGCAAGAGAAUCUGUAUAUAUAAAAGGCAGGAUGUGUGUGUCUCUGUACGUGAAUGUAAUUUAUGCACAUCCACAAAUUAGCACGCAUGUUGCUCCAAUUUUAGGAGGACAUUCAUGACCCUAGCUGUAUUUUCAUCAACUUAUUUUUCCCAGAGGCACCAGCAAAUAGCAGUAAAAAUAAAUUUUCAACCAAAUCUUUUAACAAUUUUCAAGUCAGAGAAAUUACCAUCUCUCCAAACAGGAGUUAAGUCCCCUUCUAGCGAUGAGUAAGUUUUCGUUAAGAUUUUUGUUGCUUUUUUUCCAUCGAGGAAAAAAGUGUUUUGUUGAUAUGCAGGCAACACACACACACACACACACACGAACAUGUAUGCAUACAAAAACAUGUAUGCAAUAGGUGUACGUACAUACGUGUGUGUAUGUGUGUUGUCCAUAUAUAUAUGUAUAUAUAUAUAUAUAUAUAUAUAUAAACCAAUUUCAACGGAUUUCACCCAAAUUUGACGUCGAUGUUACUUUGGUUUGAAAUAAGAACUCGAUUAGCUUAAUAAUCCUAACUUAAUCCCGGGCAAAGCCAAGUUAUACUGCUUGUGAGUGAUAUUUGAGAGAGUAAUGAAAAAGGCUGUAGAUAGGGUUAUUAGGAUAUAAUAUAAUAAAAGAGAAACCCAAGUUUAGAUAUAUUAUACUGCCCAACAGCCAUUACCACCACCAUUUUAACGACUGUUUUGCUAUGCUUUACACAUAUUGGUGGAUCAUCACUAGUACCAUGUCUUACCACUUAUUGUGGUUCUUUGUCAACCCUUUUGUGAGGUUCAGUAUCUUGAGAUUAUACUUUACCACUUUGUUCCAAGUCGUCUUAGGUCUACUUUCAUAAGUUUCAUCUACUCCAAACACUCAGGGAUUUUUAAUAUAACUGACAUUCUUCAUACACAUCAAAUGCCCAACAUCUGAUGCCUCUUAUACUCAGCUUUGCCUUAUUUUGCUUCCUCGUUUAUGCACACUAAUAUUACACAUCCAGCAGAGCAUGCUUGCUUCAUUGCUUUCUAGCUAUCACAAAUCUUUCGCAUUUAAGGCCCUCAUCUUGCUGCCAUGCUGCAUCACAGUUUGCACACCAGCAGCCUUACAAUAUUCUCUUUACUCUCAGAGAAACUCUUUAUUACCAGCAGAAGUAACAGCUCUCUGAACUUUUCUUCUUCCUUCUUGACUUAGCUACUAAGCUUUUGGUACACCCACUUUUGCUACUAAGUAGAUCACCUUGGCAACAAAAACCAAUCAACUACUAAACAUUUGAAAUCAUUUAUUUCAUGUAUUUUCUUACUGCUAACAUCUCGUCUGCAUCUGAUACAAAUGAAUCCUUCCUUCUCUGUCAGCUCUCUAAACCCACUAUAAAAUCUUGUGCUUCCAUAUUUUAUACUGGUAACAUCAUACAGAAUUUCUAACUAUUCACUUCCUACAUACUGAGUAUGGCCAUUUCCUAAAUGACUGCAAGAUCUUCUCUUCUUUAUUACUCAUUAAAACUUGUAUCUUUGCCACAUUUACUUCAAUCCAAAGUUUUGUUUCCAUAUUUGGAUUUCUUUUUUCUCCCCCUAAAUCCAUUAUGAAUUCAGUUAUCAUCAGCAUACAGGAAUUCCAACAAACAGCCAGUUUGAAACUUAUAUGUUUUAGCUUGGAGAACUUCCAUGAACAGAAAACAGAUAGCUGUACCCUGAUAGACCCUUACCUGAUGCUAAAUUCAUUGCUCACACCUUGUUAAGUGCACUGGUGGACAGGGUUUGUAUGACCCUCACAAGCCAGUUAUUUAUCCCCAGUUUUCUUAGUGACCACAAUACAAGAGAAUCUGAAACCCUGUCAAGGGUCUCAAUGCAACAGACGCCAGACAUACAGGAUUAAGGAUUACUCCAAGCUGUGCUCUCUCUCUCUCUCUCUCUCUCUCUCUCUCUCUCUCUCUCUCUCUCUCUCUCUCUCUCUCAAAACUGGUGGGCUGUAUCCAAUUUGGGAUUAUUCUGUUCCUAAUCAAUUAUGCUAUAAUUACCUUUCAUUUCUUUCAUAAUCUGUUCAAUCAAUCUGAAACCCCUGCAGUUGCCUAUUAUAUGUGUGUGUGUGUGUGUAGGUGUAUUAUAUAUACAUUAUAGAUUUAUAUGUGUGCAUGUAUGUACCUGUGUGUGUUUAUGUAUGUGUAUUGUACCAUUUUAUCAUAAAAAUGGGUAAGAGCCCCUUCAGUCAUGAAUGACCAUGGGAUUGAACCUAGAAUGUUCCCCUCCAAGGCAUAAGUUUGGGCAGAUUUAUCUGUGAAAGACCAGCAAUUGCCCAUGCAUACCAGCCUCUCCUCUGAUUUUAUCCCAGGGAAAGGCGAUGGUUGAUAGAGCUUGGCCCUAGUGACAUUGCAACUCAUUUCUACAGUUGAGUAAACUGGAGCGAUGGGAAAUAAAGAGUCUUGCCCAAGAACACAACACAGAGCCCGGUCCAGGAAUUGAACUCACUACCUCAUGAUUGUGAGCCUGAUGCUCUAACCAUUGAGUUAUGUGCAUAUAUUUACUAGCAGUCAUUAGACUGUUGGACAGAAUACCUCAUGGUACUUGUUCUGACACUCUAUUCAAAUCCUGUUAAGACCAGCUUGGCCUUUCAUCCUUUUGUGGGGGGAUAAAAAAAGCACCAGUCCAGAGUAGUGUAAAUGUGGAAUUGUUGAUGCAUAGAACCGGAUUCCCAGUGGUGUCUAUUUCAGUUCUGUUUUCUAACCUCAUUUUAUUGCCCCAAAACUGUAAUACAUCUGUCAUGAGCUGCAACCUUACAGAUACUAUCAGCAAUUUAAAAAAAAGCCAAUUGAAACAUAGUUUCCUUGGUACAGUUGGAAGAUUCACUGUCUCUACUACCAUACAUGUGUGUGUGUGUGUGUGUGUAGAUGGUUCCAGGCAAUAAGCAUGUCUUUUCCUGACUGGCAAGUCAGCUUUUGAGAAGACUUGAUUCUUAAGAUUAGUUCUCCCUCUCAUAUGGAGUUGGUCUUAACUGCCAUUUUGGUAAUUAUGAUACACCUUCUACAGGUAGGGAUUAUUUUAAUGAAUCAAACAUUUAUGUUCUAUGAUAUUUGAUAUACCUGUACAUGCCUAUGUUGUUUGAAUAUAUACCACUAGCCACUGUGAGUAAUUUCUCUUACCUCAUUAUUGCAUGUGUGUGUGUGUGUGUGUGUGUGUGUGUGUGUGUGUGUGUAUAUAUAUAUAUAUAUAUAUAUAUAUAUAUACACACAUAUAUAUAUAUGCACAAACCUAACAGUUUGGUUCAGUUUAUUUCACAAUCAUAGAGUUUUAGGUUCAGUCCCACAGUGUGACACCUUGGCCAAGCGUUUUCUACUUAUAGCCUCUGAUCACCUGAUGCUUUGUGCAUAAAACUGGUAUAAAGAAAGUAUGAAGAGAUCAGUUGAGGGUGGGUGUGGGUGUGCAUUGCUUCCUUUAGGUGUGGUACCACCUGAGAACAAUAGUACCUGUCUUCAAUCAGUCCAUUAUAAUGCCUCUGUGUGUGUGUGUGUGUGUGUGUGUGUGUGUGUUUGCAUAUAAGUUAACAAGUACUGAGGGAACAUAAUUUUGGUGAAAAGUGAAAUAUUUAGCACAAUUACUUCAUAUGCAUUUGUUCAAUUGUUCAAUGCUCUGGUUUCAUCUAAGAAACAGGCCUUGAAGGACCCAAAGAAAAAAAUCUUACAAUUAUUUGUCUUAUCUUAAUAACAAAUGAAUUAUCCAAUAUGGUUGCUCUGUCAAGUCUCACAGAAGAUGAAAAUAUCUGGAAGAACUGUAAGAAUCAGAGGCCAUAAUCAAUUCCUUUGUACAAUUUAUGAUAAGAAAACAAGAACUUCAAAAUUGAUCUGAAAAUUUUUCUAAAGAUUGAUUCUAAAGAAAGGACCAUAAAUUUCGGAUUGUGUAUAUAAGCUAAUAGUCAGCAUGAAAAUAGUAAUGGUUCAUGAGUGAAGGUAGCCUGGCUUUAGGUGAUAAACCUGAUGCUUCAUAGAAAGUAAAAAGUGAGCAAACUGGAAUUUAGAGAGGCAAAGGAUAGAGGAAGAAAAUAUAAAAGAAGAAAUUAGAAAUGGUUGUGGAGCUGUUUAAAAGAGAAGUUGGGGGGGGGGGCUAAAAAGAGAAAAACAAAAAGGAGGACAGGAAGUGAGAAAAGAAGCAUUGGAACAUAAGGGAAACUGCUUUUCACAAUAAAGUAGUUCCCAAUUGUGGUUUGCAAUCUGGAGACUGAACUUUCCAGUUCUCUAGUAUGUACUUACCCAUGAGAGGGCAUCUUGUGAAAAUGUUGAUAUUUGGAAUUCAGGAUCUUUAGGAUCUUGAAGGUGUUUUAGAAUAUGUACCCUUUCAAUCAAACAAAUUUGCACAUCUUGCUGCCAUUAAUAAAUGCUUUUGGCUUCUUGAGCACUCUCCAUUCAAUGUUAUAUUUGAUUUUACUGUCUUUUAGUGACUAUAUUCAGGAAGCUCUUAGAUUUCCUAGACAGAUAUUUCUCAGUACAACACCAUAAUAAUAAAACCUUUAAGUGAUGAACAGUGAAAAUCAGCGACUAAUGUUCUCCAAACAUGAAGUCAUUAACAACAUCUUAAACCAUUAUCUAUUCUUGAGCAAGGAUGUUGAUGCAGAAAGAAAGAGGAAUACUUUCUAUUGACCAAGCAUGCAACAUUUCAUCAGUUGCUUAUGAGUCACCCUGACAGUGUGGAACCAGAUUGCAGGGGGGGGGAUAAGCAUUAUGUCAAUGUGGCUCAAUUUAAACACCUGUUCUACAGCUGAUUCUCGUUGUUCAGUCAUCCAGGUAAAAAGAUAAUCAUGACAUUGGCAGACCAUAUAAGAGAACAUUUCAGUAAACAAGAAUCAGUGGGAAGGUUAUGAUAGUCAGGUAUGGGGUGGGCUUAAAUUAACCUUAAAAUAGCACAAAUUGAUAUUUUAAUUUUAAUUUUAAACCAUCCUAAAGUCUGAAGUGAAAAUAGUUUGGGUAAAAAAAAGAAAUACACAAAGAAAUUGAAGACAGAUCGUUAUGAUGGUAUGAAUUAACAUUAAGACAACACUACGAAUUAUUCUAAUUAUUAGAAGCUACUCACUGAUCUUCCCAACCUAUCUCUUCCACUCUGCAGAUUCAUGGCAUCAAAUUAAUUAUUUCAUUUUUACCCAUGUCUUGUUACGCAGCAACCUGCAUCCUCCGACAUUCCAUUCCUUACAUAUUUUUCUCAGCCAACUGCUUUACCCCGUUUCACUGCUUUACACCCUUUUCCUACCCAGACAUAUCUUUGUCUUUCUUCUUUUCACACAUUUGCUUCUUCUCUUUGCACUUUCUCUAACUCUUACUCUCUCAUUUUCUUCUUCUUCUUCUUCAUCUCUUCCUUCCUCCUCCUCCUCCUCCUACAUGGUGUGCUAGUGACUUGAUUACUUGUCUCCCACUUGGUACUGAAGUGACAUCACAAUUUUAUUGGAUUUUACUUCUUCUAAUACCAUAACUUCUAAUAGGAUUAGACAUUUACCUUCACGUCUUUACUUAUUUGCUUAAAAGACAUUGAAAAACUUGCAAUUAUAGCUUCCUAAACAUAAGUAACACUAUUUUCACUAUUUAUAUUAACUAUAUUACUAACUUUACAAAUUUCCUUUAUUUUACUCUCGAAUACAUUUUAUAUGUCUUUCUUUUCACUUUCUUUGCAGAGAAAUAAGUUACAGUCUAUAUCUAUUCCAUAUUUCACUCCUUUACACGUUUAUACACACAGACACACACACACAUCUGUCAUAAAAAAAACUGUGAGUCCAUGGAGAAUAUCAAAGAUAUCAAUAAAGAUAAUAGAAUCUACAAAAGGAAUGGACAUAAACAUACAUCAAGAAAUAUAAUAUGCUAUAAUCUGCCCCUUAAGUUGAAGGUAGCAAAGCCAGAGUUUCUUCCCCUUUUCCACAAACCCUUUCCUAAAUAACAUAAGUACAAUAUUUAAUUAAUAUACUAUUAAAAUAUACACCUUCACUUUUCCUAAUCUACCUCAAAAUAUUACCUCCUCUAAUUUAACUAUAUUCUACUAAAAUAGAAAGGAUUAACAUAGAAACAGUAUCUAUAUAUAAUUCAAACUAGAUAUAUAGAUCCAGUUGCAAUUGUAGUAAUCUCAGAGCAUACUCCAUUAACUAGAAUUGCCUACAAAAAUAUAUAUACAGUGCACUCUUACAACCAGCUCCUCUACAAAAGCUUAUAUAGGGCUUGCUACAAGUGAUUUUAAGUAAAGAUAUUGUCAACAUUUCCAUUCAUUUAGAAACCUUUCUAAGAGGAACAUGGCUAAUCUAUCAAGCUAUCACUAGCACAUAAAGUACUUCUAUACCACCUUAGGAUACAACAUUCCAUGGAAGAUCCCAACAAAAGCAUUCUACAGAGGCAAUAGAACAUACCACAUUCUAUGUACAAAUGAAGCAACUUCUUUGCAAACUCACCACUUCUAAAUCAUGUCCUAGACCCAGAGAAAUGAUGUAACCAACAUACAGUAAAUUUGAACCUUAUACCGCAUUCAAAUCUCUUCUCUAUCAUUUUAAUCUACACACUUUUUAUUUCAUAUUAUUUUUAUUCUUAUUCUCAAAUAUAGUUUCAUUUUAUAUCUCUGUAUCAUCAAAGUACCAUCUGCUGUAUCUAUUCCACAGUUUAGUAUUAACUCUAAUAAAAUCAUUCCACACAAAAGUGGAUUGGUAAGUUUUGCCAAUCCAAACUAUGUCAUCAUUUCACACUGCCACAGAAUCAUCUCACUUCAAACUUAUUAUUUUGUUUAGAAAAUAAAAUAUUCAUGACAUUAUUUUCAUUAUAUUAUUUACAUUAUAACUGCAUUGCAACAGGUGUGUAUGGGCAUGUGGCUUAGUGCUUAGGGUAUUUGGUUCGUGAUCGUAAGGUUGGGAGUUCAAUACCCAGCAGCUAGUUGUGUCCUUGAACAAGACACUCUAUUUCAAAUUGUUCGAGUCCACUCAACUGGCAAAAAUGAGUUGUACCUAUAUUUUAAAGGGCCAGCCAUGUCACAUUGUGCCGCAAUGAAUCUCCCUAAGAACUAUGUUAAGGGUCUGUGGAGUACUCAACCACUUGCACAUUAAUUUCAUGAGCAGGCUGAUCUGUUGAUCAGUUCAAUUGGAACCCUCGUCAUCAUAACUGACGGAGUGCCAUCCAAGCACAUGCUCACAUCUCCAUCCUGUCUAGCAAUGGACAAUUGCUUCAUCCGUAUAAUCGUAUCAUUAUUUAUGUGGUUAUCUUCUUUUAUACAAUUGAUAUUACUUUAUACCUAAUUCAUUUUGGAUUGAAUAAAUUAAAUAUAAAAUAAUAUCAAUGCUCUCAGGACCAUACCAGUCGGGUGGAAAGAGGGUUGAGGUGCUGCACAAACCUUAUGGAACCUAGGAAUUUUAGGUUGUGCAAUCGCCAGUGAGGUAAUUAUUAAAUGUCUGGUUGAGUAAUUGUCUGGUUACUUGAGAGAAGUUCAUAGUACAGAAUUCCAUUCCAAUCCCACCAGACACAAAGCAAGACUUUUUUAGGGUGAAGACCCACUUUUGGGGUUGCUAAGGGUGGCUCAUGUCACUUACUCCAGGAUCACUUUCUCUGAACAUUUCGGUAGAUAAUCCAUUUCUUAUCACCUGUCACAAUUUGCUUUAAAAAAGGUGCACUUUCAUUCCAUUUAUAAAGCAAAUCACAGAUAGAAAUGCAAUCCAGAAGGUUCUUCUCACUCAACUCAUUUGGUACCAAAACAUCGUAGUGAUUUGUGUACCCAAGAUUUACCAGGUGCUCAUGAAUGACAGAUUUUGAUAGGUUGAGGCUUUCUGCCAAUUCUCGGGUUGUGCAAUGUGGGUUAUUCUCAAUUAAUGACUUCAUUUGGUCAUCAUCGGUAGUGAAUGGUCUGCCUGCUCACUCUUUAUCAAUAAGGCUACAAUCUCCAGCUCGGAAACUUGCAAACCACUUCUGUACAGUUCUUUUGGACAAAGAAACGUCACUGUAAACUGCGCAUAUUUCUUUGGUUGCCUGUAAGGCAUUUUUUCCCUUUACAGAAAAAGAAAAGCAUCAAGUGCUGAAAAUGAACUUUCUUAUCUUCCAUUUUAAAGGGUUACAGGGUUAACACGGGUUAUAGGAACAUAAACCUUCUUCCACGAAAAGAUAGCUUAAACUACGCUCUAAAUGGAGGUGUAGUCAAAUCCUAGUUUAUGGACUUGACCAUGUUCUUAAAUAAGUCGAAAGUUAAGCUACUAUAAAUCAGCACAAACUUUCCAGACAACCCAAUAUCAUCAUCUUCUACAAAAUAGUUGUCUUGCGCAACAAUACACUGGCCCUAGCAUUCCUGCCACUUUUGAAAUCCAGCCUGAAAGUUGUUUUCCAUAAGCGAGUCAAGGACCUUCUGCGAUUCCUCUUGAUCUUGACAACGGUGUUAAACCAGUGACCUUUGAGUUGCAUUUUCAUCUUGGGUAAGAGAUGGAAGUUCACAGGUGCUGAAUCUGGUGAAUAGGGCAGGUGCUGAAGCAAUACCAUGUUGUUUUUGGCAAGAAACUCACGAGUGAGAAGAGCUUGGUGACAGGGUGCCUUGUUGUAAAGAAUCCAAAUGUUCAUGCUCCACAGAUUCAGUCACUUUCACCGAAUGGCCUCUCUCACACACUUCAAAACACACUACGACUUUCAAUUGAUGGUCUGGCCCUGGGGGAUGAAUUCUCAAUGCACAAUUCUGCAGAUGUCAAAAAUAACAAAGAGCAUGCUCUUGAUUGAGCUGCAGCUUUGUCAUGCCUUCUUCAGUCUUGGAGAUGAAGGCCUCUUCCUUUGUGAUGACUGCUGCUUCAUCUCAUACCCACAGACCCAACUCUUGUCACCAGUGAUGAUCCUCGACAUGAAGGAUGGGUCAUCAGCGGCACAUUGACGGAGAUUUUGACAGAUUUCAAUGCGAUGCUCUUUCUGCUCAGUAGUCAACAGGUGGAGAAAAAAUUUAGUAGAAACAUGCCACAAGUUCAAUUCAAACAUUACAAUUGCCUUCACAGACUCAUCCAACAGACCAACAACAUCAGCAAUGUC
rnacentral:lncRNA from 1 species